GGAGGUUCUUGGGUGACAUACCCCAGAAUCGGGUUCCCUCCUCUUUGGUUCCAGGUGCAUCACCCGAGAACCGCA
rfam:Myotis lucifugus cont2.14677, whole genome shotgun sequence.